rnacentral:rRNA from 1 species
AAUUGCUAGUAAUGGCAGGUCAGCAUACUGCCGUGAAUACGUUCCCGGGCCUUGUACACACCGCCCGUCACACCAUGAGAGUUGGAGAUACCCGAAGCCUAUGAGCUAACUUUUAGAGGCAGUAGUCGAAGGUAGAAUCAAUGAUUGGGGUGAAGUCGUAACAAGGUAGC